AGCCGUGGCCUACUGGUUAGCGCUUUGGACUUGUAACCAAAGGGUUGCCGGUUCGAACCCCGGGCAUGGCUG
rnacentral:tRNA from 1 species